AACGAACGCUGGCGGCGUGGAUAAGACAUGCAAGUCGAACGGGAUUUUUUUCUGUAGCAAUACAGGAAAAAGUCUAGUGGCGAACGGGUGCGUAACACGUGAGCAACCUGCCGUGAAGUGGGGGAUAGCUCGCCGAAAGGCGAUUUAAUACCGCAUGUGGCCAAGGAAGACAUCUUCCUGACGCCAAAGCCGGGGCCACCUGGCCCUUCUCGAGGGGCUCGCGGCCUAUCAGCUUGUUGGUGAGGUAACGGCUCACCAAGGCUAUGACGGGUAGCUGGUCUGAGAGGACGACUAGCCACACUGGAACUGAGACACGGUCCAGACACCUACGGGUGGCAGCAGUCGAGAAUUUUUCACAAUGGGGGAAACCCUGAUGGAGCGACGCCGCGUGGAGGAUGAAGGUUUUCGGAUUGUAAACUCCUGUCAUUAGAGAACAAGGCACACGGUUUAACUGGCCGUGUGUUGAUAGUAUCUGAAGAGGAAGAGACGGCUAACUCUGUGCCAGCAGCCGCCGUAA
rnacentral:rRNA from 1 species